AUCCACCUGACGAGUCCCAAACAGAACGAAAUGCGCUUAUUGAAU
rnacentral:hammerhead_ribozyme from 1 species